rfam:Microdochium bolleyi strain J235TASD1 unplaced genomic scaffold Micbo1qcscaffold_31, whole genome shotgun sequence.
GGCUCAGUGGUCUAGUCGUAUGAUUGCUGCUUCGGGAGUCCAAUCCCGCUCUGGAACACAUCCAGAGUUGUCUCUACAAAAUGUAGCAGGUCCCGGGUUCAAAUCCCGGCUGAGCCC